UCAACAACAGUGAAGGAAAGAGUAGUCUGUUUCAACUUUAUAGAGAGUUCUUGGGUGGUGGAAAAGAACAAGGGAGAAUAGGUGAAGAUGGUUCUGGAGUUUCAUUAGUGAAUAUUUAGCUAAUGGCGGUUGUACCCGUUAUUGUACUAGAGUAUGAUGGUACUCGAAAAGGUUGUUAUAGUGAUAUAACAAUGAAUUAAGGUGGUAACACGGGUCAUAUAACUCGUCCUUAGA
rnacentral:ncRNA from 1 species